UAUAUAUUUUUCCUAGUUUCAGUCUUGUUUUGUAUGUUUUUAAGAAGGAACUGUUGACCCUCUCUGAAAAGCUUCCUGUUCUUUUUUUGUUAAAGUGGUGUAGUUUCCUGGUGUGUCAGUAGAGCUGCUGUCUGCGUGAGACUCGAUCUGACACUCUUCUGCUGGGAUUGAGCUCUUCUGGAAACUGGACUUUAGAGAAAUGAUGCUGAUCUUUGGACUGAUGCUGCUGCUGCAAACUGCUGCAUGUCUGGAAGUAAAAUGCAGUUUUACUCAAUCUGGUCCCUGUUACGCAGCUCUGGGACACAAACUCAAUUUGCUGAUGGUGCAGGACACUAGAGAAUAUGAUCUAAAGAUACGUAAGAGGAUAUACAACACACAAGAUGAUCCAGUUUGUAGAGUAAAAGUAUUGCCGGCCCAAGACUCAAACCCACAACUUUAGGGUUAGGAGUCAAACUCUCUCACCACUAGGCCACGACUUCCCCCUAAAUGCUUAAACAUGCUCUAAACUAUAGUCAAUGAUAAUAUCAGAUUCAUAAUAUUUGUUCUUUGCUUGCUUUCUGUAUUAUUCGCUGUUUGAAUAACUGUGUAUUUAGUAACUUUAGUAAAACUUUAGUAAACAUUUGUAAAUUAGUAACUUAGAAUGUUUUUGUCAAAUUGUGAUCAUGUUAAACACAAAUUCAGUCAUAUUAAGAUAUUUUAUGACAUGACCCUCAUAUCUGGUAGGCUAAAUGUGCUGAUAGAUUACACUAACAUUAGGCUUCUUUUAGUUUAGCCCUGCAGUUUGUUCUCCCUCCGCAUUCUCACUAAUGUAAAUCAGUAUUUAUAUAUUGUAAUAGUAGACAUCUACAUCCUGCAACAGAGCCAAUUACCAGGUGUUCACCCUGUUUGUUCCUGAUUGUAGUUCAUUAUGUCUGUAUAUUUUGGUACAUUACAUGUGUGUGUUUUGUUCUUCAGGUCUGGAGUUGAACUGCAGUUUUAAUCAGUAUGUACCCUGUUACGCAGCUCUGGAACACAAACUCAAUCUGCUGAUGGAGCGGGACACUCGAGAAUAUGAGCUGAAGAUAAUAAAGAGAAUAAACAACAUUCACGAUGAUCCAAUUUGUAGAGUAAAGAAUGGCAGGAUAAGGGAAUGUGAUCUUUAUAAUAACAGACCUGAAGUGAACAUCAUUAAUGGGACUGUGAUAAUAAACCGUGUGAUCAGAGCAGAUUCUGGGAAUUACAGAUUAACACUCACUGACUCAGACGGCACAGAAACAUCUAGAGAUCUUCAAGUGAUUGUUGAAGCUCCUAUUGGCUCAGUGGAAGUGUCAAUCAUCUGCUCCUCCAGUGGGGUGAUGAGGGUGUUCUGCUCCUCUGAGGGGGAUCAGCUCCUCUACAGCUGGACUCUGAAUGGAGAUCCACUGAUGGAUGGAAACAGCAGCAUUGAUCUGGAUGAGGGAACUGAUGGAGACAUCAGCUGCAGCGUGAAGAACCACGUCAGUCACGCACAGAAGACCAUUAGAGUCCAACCCUGUCCUGGUGAGCUCAUUUCUGUGAAUAAACAGAUAAUUAACUGCCCAACACUGAUUGAUUGAUUGAUUGAUUGAUUGAUUGAUGUGUUUGUGUUGUUCAGUGUCUGUGGUGUUUGUUCUGGUCUGGUGUUUCCAGCUGAUGGUUCUGUUGGGUCUGUUAGGAGCUUUUCACAUCUACAUGAGACACAUGUCAGGUGAGAGAAAUUCAUGAUCAUCAUUAUGGAUUUGACAUGCAAAUAUUGAGAGUGUGAAGAUGAUGAUGAUGAUGCUUUUAGGAAAGAAACAGGAAGAUCAGAAAGUGAGAAUGAGAAGAUUUAGAGAGCGACAUGAACACACAGCAGAAGAUUCAUGAGAGCAGCAGCAGAUCUUCUGUAUUUUAUGUUUUUUUUAACAUGUUUAGCCACACUUUUGUAUUUUUUUAUUCAUACGUUAUGUUAUUAUGGAAUAGUGAUGAACCAUGUUCUUUUGAAAAAAUGAAAAUGGAGUCAGCAUCAAAACUGAUGAACACUGCUAUCAAAGUUAAAUGAAGAUAAAAUGCUUUGAAAUAAAGCUAUAUUUCCAGUCA
ensembl:lncRNA